UUUAAGGGCUCCACUACCAUGGAGCACCCAAGUCUGACCCGAGGCACCAAAGCCUCUCCCAGACUCAGGGCUGAGGGCAGCCAGCACGAACAUCAGUAAAAACAUGCAGGAAAAAACAUCACACGCCCCUGGACAGAGGGGAAAGAUCCAGAACGGAAGAGGAGGCAGGGACGAAAGUACCAGGUGGCUUCCAUAUGUCCAGCCCCUCCCUUUAGUCCUUCCCCUUGGCCCAGCCACUGGGGAGAUGACUUAAAAUAAUGAGUUAGAGAAACCAUCUUGGGCGACUGUCCCCUCCCACCUCCCACCUGAAAGAUCAGCAGAGGCAGAGGCCCCGAGAGAUCACAGCCCUGGUACAGGGAGGAGGGCGGUCUGGGAAGGAUAGGUGAGACAUGUCACAUCUAUGGAAAAGUGCCCAAGGUACAAGCUAAGCAAAGGGAGGAGGAGGGCCAGAGAGAGGCCAGAAGGAGAAAGAACAGGGCAGGGGUGAGCCUGGAGGGAAGGCCUCACACCACCCCACAGAUGAGCGUCUCCACCACAAAUGUAUUCUCGAAGUGGCGGAUGGCGUUGCAGUUCUUGCCCCCACGUUUGUU
rnacentral:lncRNA from 1 species